GGCAAGUCAUCACUAUGAUUGGGAAAGAAGCCAAAAUUAUAAUAAAAUGAAAACCUGUGCAUCAAAUCUGAAGGAUGAGUAUAAAAUAGGAUAAACAGUCUUAAAUGAAGAAAUUCAAAAAUAGGAAGCUGAAUUACUUCUCUGAGGAUGUCUUGUCACUAAAACAUGGAGAAUCCAACCUACCCUGCGUAGUUGUGGAAUCCCUCAGAUGACAGCAGUGAAGAAUAAGGAUGAAGAUAGCACAUUCUCAUUGUCAUUAAGAUUAAAAUAAUCAAGAUGUAUGAACUGAGCACAGUAAGAUCAGAGACAUAAUAUGGACUCAGCAAUGCUGGCUGAUUUUGCGGGAUUAUUAAUGAAGAUGUUAAAUAAGAAGAAAGCAACAUCCUUCCCCAUGUACUGCAGUUGAAUUACUAAUCACUUCACGAAUGCUGAAGAAAGCAUUUUAAAAAAGUUUUUUCUGCAAUAUAUACAACCUACACUGAAAAAUCUUAAGCUAUAUGUACUUCAUUCAAUUCAUUCAUGCAUACGAAUAUUCAAAACCUUCAUUUAAGCUCAAAGGCCAUGGAGAUAAAAAAGA